GGGCACAUGGUGUAGAUGGUUAUCACGCCUGCUUAGCAUCGAGCGGACGCUGCAGGAGGUCUUGAGUUCAAUUAUCAAUGUCUCCA